rnacentral:rRNA from 1 species
UCAAAUUUAUAAUCUGGCACCUUCGGUGUCCGAGUUGUAAUCUCUAGAAAUGUUUUCCGCGUUGGACCGCACACAAGUCUGUUGGAAUACAGCGGCAUAGUGGUGAGACCCCCGUAUAUGGUGCGGACGCCCAGCGCUUUGUGAUACAUUUUCGAAGAGUCGAGUUGUUUGGGAAUGCAGCUCAAAUUGGGUGGUAAAUUCCAUCUAAAGCUAAAUAUUGGCGAGAGACCGAUAGCGAACAAGUACCGUGAGGGAAAGAUGAAAAGCACUUUGGAAAGAGAGUUAACAGUACGUGAAAUUGUUGGAAGGGAAACGCUUGAAGUCAGACUUGCUUGCUGAGCAAUCGGUUUGCAGGCCAGCAUCAGUUUUCCGGGAUGGAUAAUGGUAGAGAGAAGGUAGCAGUUUCGGCUGUGUUAUAGCUCUCUGCUGGAUACAUCUUGGGGGACUGAGGAACGCAGUGUGCCUUUGGCGGGGGUUUCGACCUCUUCACACUUAGGAUGCUGGUGGAAUGGCUUUAAACGACCCGUCUUGAAACACGGACCAA